CAAGUCGAGCGAGAAAAGGGUAGCAAUAUCCUGAGUAAAGCGGCGCACGGGUGAGUAACACGUGGGUAAUCUGCCCUGGAGUGGGGAAUAACACCGGGAAACCGGUGCUAAUACCGCAUACGAUCACGAUGUCUGCGGAUGUUGUGAUGAAAGGAGCAAUUCGCUCCAGGAGGAGCCCGCGGCUGAUUAGCUAGUUGGUGAGGUAAUGGCUCACCAAGGCUACGAUCAGUAUCCGGUCUGAGAGGACGGUCGGACACACUGGAACUGAGACACGGUCCAGACUCCUACGGGAGGCAGCAGUGGGGAAUUUUUGGCAAUGGGGGCAACCCUGACCAAGCAACGCCGCGUGGGUGAUGAAGUCUCUUGGGACGUAAAACCCUUUCGACGGGGAAGAAACCGCAAGGUUGACGGUACCCGUAGAAGAAGCCCCGGCUAACUCCGUGCCAGCAGCCGCGGUAAUACGGGGGGGGCAAGCGUUGUUCGGAAUUACUGGGCGUAAAGGGUGCGUAGGCGGUGCUCUAAGUCGGAUGUGAAAACUCUGGGCUCAACCCAGAGCCUGCAUCCGAAACUGGAGUGCUAGAGUUCUGGAGGGGGUAGCGGAAUUCCUGGUGUAGCGGUGAAAUGCGUAGAUAUCAGGAGGAACACCGGUGGCGAAGGCGGCUACCUGGACAGAAACUGACGCUGAGGCACGAAAGCUAGGGGAGCAAACAGGAUUAGAUACCCUGGUAGUCCUAGCCCUAAACGAUGGAUACUUGGUGUGACCGGGAUUGAAUCCGGUCGUGCCGAAGCUAACGCAUUAAGUAUCCCGCCUGGGGAGUACGGUCGCAAGGCUGAAACUCAAAGGCCUUGACGGGGGC
rnacentral:rRNA from 1 species